rnacentral:pre_miRNA from 1 species
UGGACAGAUUAUUGUAUUCGACUGUAUUCACGGCGUAAAAACAGGGGAUUACACUGUUUUUAAACGGAAAGUGAAUCAAUUAACAUAAUAGACUCCU